GACGAACGCUGGCGGCGUGCCUAACACAUGCAAGUCGAGCGAGUGAAUUUCCUUCGGGAUUGAAGCUAGCGGCGGACGGGUGAGUAACACGUGGGCAACCUGCCUCAUAGAGGGGAAUAGCCUUUCGAAAGGAAGAUUAAUACCGCAUAAGAUUGUAGCUUCGCAUGAAGUAGCAAUUAAAGGAGCAAUCCGCUAUGAGAUGGGCCCGCGGCGCAUUAGCUAGUUGGUGAGGUAACGGCUCACCAAGGCGACGAUGCGUAGCCGACCUGAGAGGGUGAUCGGCCACAUUGGGACUGAGACACGGCCCAGACUCCUACGGGAGGCAGCAGUGGGGAAUAUUGCACAAUGGGGGAAACCCUGAUGCAGCAACGCCGCGUGAGUGAUGACGGC
rnacentral:rRNA from 1 species